rnacentral:rRNA from 1 species
CCUACGGGAGGCAGCAGUGGGGAAUAUUGGACAAUGGGGGGAACCCUGAUCCAGCCAUGCCGCGUGUGUGAAGAAGGCCCUCGGGUUGUAAAGCACUUUCAGUGAGGAAGAACGCCUGGUGGUUAAUACCCAUCAGGAAAGACAUCACUCACAGAAGAAGCACCGGCUAACUCCGUGCCAGCAGCCGCGGUAAUACGGAGGGUGCGAGCGUUAAUCGGAAUUACUGGGCGUAAAGCGCGCGUAGGUGGCUUGAUAAGCCGGUUGUGAAAGCCCCGGGCUCAACCUGGGAACGGCAUCCGGAACUGUCAAGCUAGAGUGCAGGAGAGGAAGGUAGAAUUCCCGGUGUAGCGGUGAAAUGCGUAGAGAUCGGGAGGAAUACCAGUGGCGAAGGAGGCCUUCUGGACUGACACUGACACUGAGGUGCGAAAGCGUGGGUAGCAAACAGGAUUAGAUACCCCAGUAGUC